AUGUCGCGAAGGACUCCCCUUCGACUGGUCGCCGCGGAUCUGCUCCAACUCCAUCAACAGCUCGCGGACCCCGUCCACCCGCGAGGAGAGCAAGCCGUCGAGGGUCAAGGUAUUCGUCGAGAUCAGCUUCUCCAUGGCCUUGAGGAGAUCCGCACCUUGUUCUCGGAAGCGCUUGUUGAGGUCGACCGCGAGAUCCGCCCGGAGGAGCUCGUAGACGCCGCGCCCAUCCUCCGACAACUUCUCCAUCGCCGCCGCUCGCCGCCGAUCUCAUCACCGCGUCUCGUGAUGGUGUUGAGGAAGCGCCAGGACCGCCGAAUCUGA
rnacentral:rRNA from 1 species